GGCGUGUUGCCCAAGUGGUCUAAGGGGACGGUCUGCAAAACCGUUAUUCGUCGGUUCAAAUCCGACACACGCCU
rnacentral:tRNA from 1 species